UACGGAUGGGGCUAGCGUUGUUGGGAAUUACUGGGCGUAAAGCGCGCGUAGGCGGCUAUUCAAGUCAGAGGUGAAAGCCUGGAGCUCAACUCCAGAACUGCCUUUGAAACUGGAUAGCUAGAAUCAUGGAGAGGGCAGUGGAAUUCCGAGUGUAGAGGUGAAAUUCGUAGAUAUUCGGAAGAACACCAGUGGCGAAGGCGACUGACUGGACAUGUAUUGACGCUGAGGUGCGAAAGCGUGGGGAGCAAACAGG
rnacentral:rRNA from 1 species